AUUGAACGCUGGCGGCAGGCCUAACACAUGCAAGUCGAACGGUAACAGGAAGAAGCUUGCUUCUUUGCUGACGAGUGGCGGACGGGUGAGUAAUGUCUGGGAAACUGUCUGAUGGAGGGGGAUAACUACUGGAAACGGUAGCUAAUACCGCAUAACGUCGCAAGACCAAAGAGGGGGACCUUCGGGCCUCUUGCCAUCGGAUGUGCCCAGAUGGGAUUAGCUUGUUGGUGGGGUAACGGCUCACCAAGGCGACGAUCCCUAGCUGGUCUGAGAGGAUGACCAGCCACACUGGAACUGAGACACGGUCCAGACUCCUACGGGAGGCAGCAGUGGGGAAUAUUGCACAAUGGGCGCAAGCCUGAUGCAGCCAUGCCGCGUGUAUGAAGAAGGCCUUCGGGUUGUAAAGUACUUUCAGCGGGGAGGAAGGGAGUAAAGUUAAUACCUUUGCUCAUUGACGUUACCCGCAGAAGAAGCACCGGCUAACUCCGUG
rnacentral:rRNA from 1 species